rnacentral:rRNA from 1 species
AUUGAACGCUGGCGGCAUGCUUUACACAUGCAAGUCGAACGGUAACAGGCCUUCGGGUGCUGACGAGUGGCGAACGGGUGAGUAAUGCAUCGGAACGUACCCAGAGGUGGGGGAUAACGCAGCGAAAGCUGUGCUAAUACCGCAUGUGAUCUGAGGAUGAAAGCGGGGGACCGAGAAGCAAUGUUUGGCCUCGCGCCUUUGGAGCGGCCGAUGUCGGAUUAGCUAGUUGGUGGGGUAAAGGCCUACCAAGGCGACGAUCCGUAGCUGGUCUGAGAGGACGACCAGCCACACUGGGACUGAGACACGGCCCAGACUCCUACGGGAGGCAGCAGUGGGGAAUUUUGGACAAUGGGCGCAAGCCUGAUCCAGCAAUGCCGCGUGCGGGAAGAAGGCCUUCGGGUUGUAAACCGCUUUUGGCAGGAACGAAACGGUGUCCGCUAAUACCGGGCGCUAAUGACGGUACCUGCAGAAUAAGCACCGGCUAACUACGUG